rnacentral:rRNA from 1 species
CCUACGGGCGGCUGCAGUGAGGAAUAUUGGUCAAUGGACGAGAGUCUGAACCAGCCAAGUAGCGUGAAGGAUGACUGCCCUAUGGGUUGUAAACUUCUUUUAUAAAGGAAUAAAGUGCGGCACGUGUGCCUUUUUGUAUGUACUUUAUGAAUACGGAUCGGCUAACUCCGUGCCAGCAGCCGCGGUAAUACGGAGGAUCCGAGCGUUAUCCGGAUUUAUUGGGUUUAAAGGGAGCGUAGAUGGGUUGGUAAGCCAGUUGUGAAAGUUUGCGGCUCAACCGUACAAUUGCAAUUGAUACUGGCAGGCUGGAGUGCAGUUGAGGUAGGCGGAAUUCGUGGUGUAGCGGUGAAAUGCGUAGAUAUCACGAAGAACUCCGAUGGCGAAGGCAGCUUACUAAACUGCAACUGACAUUGAUGCUCGAAAGUGUGGGUAUCAAACAGGAUUAGAUACCCUUGUAGUC